AGUGAAACCCUUCAGUUGGUAGAUGAGGCUCAGAAGAGAUAUGGCCUCCCUAUGCUCACAGACAGGUCCAUGGCUGGGUAUACAGAAGACAUUUGAAAUCAAACAUAACCUUACUCAAUUUCCUUGUUGACAGGUGACCUCAUGGAUCCAUCUGGUCGCAGUGUUCGAGGGAACCCCAGUGAGCAGCGGCACUCAGAGAAAGACAGGUACAUGGCUGGGUAUACAGAAGACCUCAUGGAUCCAUCUGGUCGCAGUGUUCGAGGGAACCCCAGUGAGCAGCGGCACUAAGAGAAAGACAGGUCACUGCGUGGAUCCCCCUGGUGGCAGCGUUUGAGGGAAAUGCAGUGAGCAUCAGUACUCAGAGGAAGGUAAUGGAGAAUGUUCUCUGAGUACAGAAAUUCCAUCAGUUCCCCCAAGACUGACGCAACACACUACACAUUCUCUCUCUAGUUGUCUCUGUGUGUCCCUUUCUUUCAUCUCUCCUCUAUCUCUGAUUUCUCUACUCCCUUUCUCCUAUUCCUUAUCUCCAGUAUCUCUAUCUUCCUACCCUCUAGCCUUUAUCAUCUGUCUCCCUGUCUCUCCCUGCCCCUUUUCUUCUAAGAAGAAGAGAUCUCUUUCUUAGCCAAGUUAACCCUAACCACCCAGAUGCACACAUUAUGGCUUUGGAAUGCAAACUUGAACUUGGCCUUAGACUUCAUAACAGCUAGUGAUAUUUUUUUGUGAACUUGAAGAUAAAUCCAUUAA